rnacentral:rRNA from 1 species
CCUACGGGAGGCAGCAGUGAGGAAUAUUGGUCAAUGGGCGAGAGCCUGAACCAGCCAAGUCGCGUGAGGGAGUACUGCCCUAUGGGUUGUAAACCUUUUUUGCCGGGGAGCAAAAGCCGGACGUGUCCGGCUGUGAGAGUACCCGACGAAAAAGCAUCGGCUAACUCCGUGCCAGCAGCCGCGGUAAUACGGAGGAUGCGAGCGUUAUCCGGAUUUAUUGGGUUAAAAGGGUGCGCAGGCGGAUUUUUAAGUCAGCGGUAAAAUCGUGGGGCUCAACCCCAUCCAGCCGUUGAAACUGGGGAUCUAGAGUGUGCGAGAGGUAUGCGGAAUGCGUGGUGUAGCGGUGAAAUGCAUAGAUAUCACGCAGAACCCCGAUUGCGAAGGCAGCAUACCGGUGCACAACUGACGCUCAGGCACGAAAGCGUGGGUAUCGAACAGGAUUAGAUACCCCAGUAGUC